GACGAACGCUGGCGGCGUGCCUAAUACAUGCAAGUUGAGCGCUGAAGGUUGGUACUUGUGCCAACUGGAUGAGCAGCGAACGGGUGAGUCACGCGUGGGGAAUCUGCCUUUGAGCGGGGGACACCAUUUGGAAACGAAUGCUAAUACCGCAUAAAAACUUUAAACACAAGUUUUACGUUUGAAAGAUGCAAUUGCAUCACUCAAAGAUGAUCCCGCGUUGUAUUAGCUAGUUGGUGAGGUAAAGGCUCACCAAGGCGAUGAUACAUAGCCGCCCUGAGAGGGUGAGAGGCCACACUGGGAUGGGGACACGGCCCACACUCCUGGGGGAGGCAGCAGUAGGGAAUCUUCGGGAAUGGACGAAAGUCUGACCGAGCAACGCCGCGUGAGUGAAGAAGGCUGUCGGAUCGUAAAACUCUGUUGGUAGAGAAGAACGUUGGUGAGAGUGGAAAGCUCAGCAAGUGACGGUAACUACACAGAAAGCGACGGCUAACUACGUG
rnacentral:rRNA from 1 species